rnacentral:rRNA from 1 species
AGAAUGCAAGUCGAGCGAACAGAAGGGAGCUUGCUCCCGGAUGUUAGCGGCGGACGGGUGAGUAACACGUGGGUAACCUGCCUGUAAGACUGGGAUAACUCCGGGAAACCGGAGCUAAUACCGGAUAGUUCCUUGAACCGCAUGGUUCAAGGAUGAAAGACGGUUUCGGCUGUCACUUACAGAUGGACCCGCGGCGCAUUAGCUAGUUGGUGGGGUAAUGGCUCACCAAGGCGACGAUGCGUAGCCGACCUGAGAGGGUGAUCGGCCACACUGGGACUGAGACACGGCCCAGACUCCUACGGGAGGCAGCAGUAGGGAAUCUUCCGCAAUGGACGAAAGUCUGACGGAGCAACGCCGCGUGAGUGAUGAAGGUUUUCGGAUCGUAAAGCUCUGUUGUUAGGGAAGAACAAGUGCGAGAGUAACUGCUCGCACCUUGACGGUACCUAACCAGAAAGCCACGGCUAACUACGUGCCAGCAGCCGCGGUAAUACGUAGGUGGCAAGCGUUGUCCGGAAUUAUUGGGCGUAAAGGGCUCGCAGGCGGUUUCUUAAGUCUGAUGUGAAAGCCCCCGGCUCAACCGGGGAGGGUCAUUGGAAACUGGGAAACUUGAGUGCAGAAGAGGAGAGUGGAAUUCCACGUGUAGCGGUGAAAUGCGUAGAGAUGUGGAGGAACACCAGUGGCGAAGGCGACUCUCUGGUCUGUAACUGACGCUGAGGAGCGAAAGCGUGGGGAGCGAACAGGAUUAGAUACCCUGGUAGUCCACGCCGUAAACGAUGAGUGCUAAGUGGUUAGGGGGUUUCCGCCCCUUAGUGCUGCAGCUAACGCAUUAAGCACUCCGCCUGGGGAGUACGGUCGCAAGACUGAAACUCAAAGGAAUUGACGGGGGCCGCACAAGCGGUGGAACAUGUGGUUUAAUUCGAAGCACC